rnacentral:misc_RNA from 1 species
UCAAUUAUAGGCGGCAGCAAUGCCACUAUACACCCUUUGUCUUUUGCGUACUGUAUGUUUCCUCGGUGGGCUCGCCCGCCGAUAGGACAUUUUAAACUCUUUGUAAUUGCAAUCAGCGUCAGAAAUAACUAUAAUAGUUA